AUUGAACGCUGGCGGCAUGCCUAACACAUGCAAGUCGAGCGAGCGGCGGACGGGUGUGUAAUGUAUGGGGACUGCCCGAUAGAGGGGGAUAACUACUGGAAACGGUGGCUAAUACCGCAUACUAUCGGAUAACCCAUAUGGGAUUUGUUAGUAGUUGGGGUAAAGGCUCACCUAGGCGACGAUCUCUAGCUGGUUUGAGAGGAGGAUAAGCAAAACGGGGACUGAGACACGGCCCAGAGUCCUACGGAGGCAGCAGUGGGGAAUAUUGCACAAUGGGCGCAAGCCUGAUGCAGCCAUGCCGCGUGUAGGAAGAAGGCCUGAGGGUUGUAAAGUACUUUCAGCGGGGAGGCGUUACCCGCAGAAGAAGCACCGGCUAACUCCGUGCCAGCAGCCGCGGUAAUUC
rnacentral:rRNA from 1 species